CAUGGGCGAAACCUGUCCGCCUGCCGCGUGUGUGAAGAAGGUCUUCGGAUUGUAAAGCACUUUAAGUUGGGAGGAAGGGCAGUAAAUUAAUACUUUGCUGUUUUGACGUUACCGACAGAAUAAGCACCGGCUAACUCUGUGCCAGCAGCCGCGGUAAUA
rnacentral:rRNA from 1 species